UGGGGGACAUGGACUUGUCCAGCUAAUGGACUAGGCAUGGAAAAGGUGUAUGUGGUGGAUGGCGGCCCCGUUCACUGGGGUGAGGACUGAGGUUAGAAGAUGAUAAAGGCAGAGGGUGGAAUUGCCUGUUUCUCCCUGAAUGGACCAUCAUGCAGUGAGGCACGCAUGUCCGGAGCUGAAGGAAAGAUUUCUGAAGCUGCAGGAGGCUGAGAACACGCAGUAGGUUAUAGGAGGAAAGAGGAAAAUGUGGGCGGCUCUGAAGGAUGCUGACAUUUGAAAGGCAGGCAGUGAUUCUAAACAAAUCGUUCAUAACCCUGCAUGCAUGUUGGGCUCACCUGGAUAGCCUUUCCUUUUCGGAAAGUGGGGGUAGCUUUUAAAUCAUACAAUGGUCCAAUAUUUGAAUUCUAUUGGUCUGGGCUGAGGAUUGAGUAUUUGCAUUUUAAAAAGCUCUCCCAAGAAAUCCUAAAGCACAGCCUAUGUAAUAAAUAUAGUGUGAAUUAUAUUUUAUUUUGGGGCCAGUCUACUUACAUUAUUGAGCAGAAAUCUGACUCUCUGCCUUAUAAUAAUAAGAUGUAAUCAUAUAUUCUCAUAAUAAUCACACAUAUCUCAGAAUGACAAUGUUCACUUCUUUGUUUCCUCUGCUACACUGUCAACUUUCCAGGGCUGUAGGAGCUGGACCAAUUCUUGCUGAACAAAUGGAAGAAGAAAUGAAUGUUCCUAUCAUCUAUGUUCCGGGGAACAGAUAAGGUUGCUGACACUGUGAAUGAAUUCUCCCUGACCUCACUUGCUCAUCUUACUUUUCUAAAUUGCUCAAGUACUUUUUACUCCCUGUCAUGAGGUCAUUUUCCGAAGCUGCAUGGAUAACGGAGAGACCAAUUAUUGAAGAUAGUUGUGCCACAAUAUGGAUGAAUCCUGGAUACAUGAAUGCCUGUGUGGAACAGAGCCCGCUGUCUACUGUAUUGGAUUCUGAGGUGAGCGAGCAAAAGUGAUUA